rnacentral:rRNA from 1 species
UAACGCGUGGAUAACCUGCCAUAUACCGGGGGAUAACACUUAGAAAUAGGUGCUAAUACCGCAUAAGCGCACGGCUCCGCAUGGGGCAGUGUGAAAAACUCCGGUGGUAUACGAUGGAUCCGCGUCUGAUUAGCUAGUUGGCGGGGUAACGGCCCACCAAGGCAGCGAUCAGUAGCCGGCCUGAGAGGGUGGACGGCCACAUUGGGACUGAGACACGGCCCAAACUCCUACGGGAGGCAGCAGUGGGGAAUAUUGCACAAUGGGGGAAACCCUGAUGCAGCGACGCCGCGUGAGUGAAGAAGUAUCUCGGUACGUAAAGCUCUAUCAGCAGGGAAGAAAAUGACGGUACCUGACUAAGAAGCCCCGGCUAACUACGUGCCAGCAGCCGCGGUAAUACGUAGGGGGCAAGCGUUAUCCGGAUUUACUGGGUGUAAAGGGAGCGUAGACGGCAGCACAAGUCUGGAGUGAAAUCCCGGGGCUUAACCCCGGAACUGCUUUGGAAACUGUGCGGCUGGAGUGCAGGAGGGGUAAGCGGAAUUCCUAGUGUAGCGGUGAAAUGCGUAGAUAUUAGGAGGAACACCGGUGGCGAAGGCGGCUUACUGGACUGUAACUGACGUUGAGGCUCGAAGGCGUGGGGAGCAAACAGGAUUAGAUACCCUGGUAGUCCACGCGGUAAACGAUGAUCACUAGGUGU